AACGUAGGAGACAAACGUUUAUCCGGAGUUACUGGGCGUAAAGGGCGUGUAGGUGGUUUCGUAAGUCUGGCGUGAAAUUUUUCGGCUUAACCGGGAAAGGUCGUCGGAUACUGCGGAGCUAGAGGACGGUAGAGGCGUGUGGAAUUCCGGGUGUAGUGGUGAAAUGCGUAGAUAUCAGGAGGAACACCUGUGGUGUAGACAGCUUACUGGACCAUUUCUGACGCUGAGACACGAAAGCGUGGGUAGCAAACAGG
rnacentral:rRNA from 1 species